AAGGCUGUACGCGAGGAAAGUCCGAGCUCUACAGGGCGGAAUAACGGCUAACGGCCGCCGGGGGUGACCCUAGGGAAAGUGCAACAGAGAUAUACCGCCGAGGAAACUCGGUAAGGAUGGAAAGGCGAGGUAAGAGCUCACCGGCACAGAAGAGAUUCUGUGGCCAUGUAAACCCUAUUCAGAGCAACACCGUGGACGGACAAUACGCUUGCCCGGCGUGUCCGAUGGAGGUGGCAUUGAGCGUCGGCGGUAACGCUGCGCCAAGAUAGAUGACUGCUUUAAACAAAACUCGGCUUAUAGAUCUGGUCU
rnacentral:RNase_P_RNA from 1 species